CCUACGGGAGGCUGCAGUAGGGAAUCUUCGGCAAUGGACGAAAGUCUGACCGAGCAACGCCGCGUGAGUGAUGAAGGUUUUCGGAUCGUAAAACUCUGUUGCCAGGGAAGCGGUACCUGAGAAGAAAGCCCCGGCUAACUACGUGCCAGCAGCCGCGGUAAUACGUAGGGGGCAAGCGUUGUCCGGAAUUAUUGGGCGUAAAGCGCGCGCAGGCGGUUGUUUAAGUCUGGUGUAUAAACCAAGGGCUCAACCUUUGGACGCAUUGGAAACUGGGCAACUGGAGUGUAGGAGAGGAAAGUGGAAUUCCACGUGUAGCGGUGAAAUGCGUAGAGAUGUGGAGGAACACCAGUGGCGAAGGCGACUUUCUGGCUUAACUGACGCUGAGGCGCGAAAGCGUGGGGAGCAAACAGGAUUAGAUACCCUUGUAGUC
rnacentral:rRNA from 1 species